AAAAAAAAGAGUUUGAUCGUGGCUCAGAAUCAACGCUGGCGGCGUGCCUCAGACAUGCAAGUCGAACGAUUAAAGCUCCCUUCGGGGAGUGCAUAAAGUGGCGCACGGGUGAGUAACAUGUAAGUAAUCUACCUUCGAGUGGGGAAUAACAGUCGGAAACGGCUGCUAAUACCGCAUAAUGCAGCGGCAUCGCAAGAUGACAGUUGUUAAAGAUUUAUCGCUUGAAGAGGAGCUUGCGGCAGAUUAGCUAGUUGGUAAGGUAAUGGCUUACCAAGGCUACGAUCUGUAACCGGUCUAAGAGGACGGUCGGUCACACUGACACUGAAUAACGGGUCAGACUCCUACGGGAGGCAGCAGUCGGGAAUUUUGGGCAAUGGGGGAAACCCUGACCCAGCAACGCCGCGUGAAGGAUGAAGUAUUUCGGUAUGUAAACUUCGAAAGAAUAGGGAAGAAUUAAUGACGGUACUAUUUAUAAGGUCCGGCUAACUACGUGCCAGCAGCCGCAGU
rnacentral:rRNA from 1 species